rnacentral:misc_RNA from 1 species
UUUCCGUAGGUGAACCUGCGGAAGGAUCAUUAUCGAAAUACUUAUUUAGCGUUCCGUGCUAUCCCAUUGUUUUAUUUACCCUGUUGCUUCCGCUGGAUGAGUUUCCAUACCUUGUGUUUGAGAAACUUUGGCUUGUGUAAGAUUCAUUCACGGCCAGCCAGUGAGAAGACCAUUUACAAAACCCUGUUAAGAACCAAUUGUCUGAAUAUUUUACUCCAAUGAAAUAAAACUUUCAACAACGGAUCUCUAGGCUCUUGCAUCGAUGAAGAAUGCAGC